CAAAUGAAACAAAAAAAAAAAAAAAAAAAAAAAAAAA
rnacentral:ribozyme from 1 species